rnacentral:rRNA from 1 species
GUAAGUAUACCUCUAAAGGUCAAAGUAUGCAAAUAUGAUACUUCACUUACGUCAGGUCAAAGUGCAGCCAAUGCAAGGAGAUGAUGGGUUACACACUUAAUAUAGAUACAGAUUAAGGCACUAAGAGCUCUAUGAAGGUGGACUUGCAGUAAUUGUUGAUUCAAUUUAUAUGAAUACGAAUCUAAGACAUGCACACAUCGCCCGUCACUCUCGCCUAAAGGG